rnacentral:rRNA from 1 species
GUGUCAGCAGCCGCGGUAAUACGUAGGGUGCGAGCGUUGUUCGGAGUUAUUGGGCGUAAAGGGCGUGUAGGCGGCUUGAGAAGUCUGGUUUGAAAUGCACUGGCUCAACUGGUGCGCUGGGUCAGAAACUGGCAGGCUUGAGUUCAUGGGGAGGAGCUGGAAUUCCAGGUGUAGGGGUGAAAUCUGUAGAGAUCUGGAAGAACACCGGUAGCGAAGGCGGGCUCCUAUGGAUGGACUGACGCUGAGGCGCGAAAGCGUGGGGAGCAAACAGGAUUAGAUACCCUGGUAGUCCACGCUGUAAACUAUGUGCACUAGGUAUGGGGUACGAGAGGUACUCCGUGCCGGAGCGAACGCGUUAAGUGCACCGCCUGGGGAGUAUGCUCGCAAGGGUGAAACUCAAAUGAAUUGACGGGG